ACAGUGGAUUAUGUUUUAAUAUUUAUUUUUGUCUAGAAUAAGAGUUUUCUGUU
rnacentral:tRNA from 1 species